rnacentral:rRNA from 1 species
CAGCAGCCACGGGAAUACGAAGGGUGCAAGCGUUAAUCGGAAUUACUGGGCGUAAAGCGUGCGUAGGCGGUGAGUUAAGUCUGCUGUGAAAUCCCCGGGCUCAACCUGGGAAUGGCAGUGGAUACUGGCUCGCUAGAGUGUGUCAGAGGAUGGUGGAAUUCCCGGUGUAGCGGUGAAAUGCGUAGAGACCGGGAGGAACAUCAGUGGCGAAGGCGGCCAUCUGGGACAACACUGACGCUGAGGCACGAAAGCGUGGGGAGCAGACAGGAUUAGAUACCCCCGUAGUCCCUGUCUCUUAUAC